rnacentral:rRNA from 1 species
CAUUUCCUCUUGUAAUCAUGGGAGGUAGGCCCUGCCCGGUGCGAAAGUAAACGGCGGCCUUAGCGUGAGGGUCCUAAGGUAGCAUGAUAAGUCGGCCUUUAAUUGGGGUCUGGUAUGAAUGGGUUAACGUUGGAUAAGCUGUGUCAUAGAGAACUACUGAAAUUAAUUUUUAAGUGAAGAAGCUUUAAUGAAAAAAAAAGACGACAAGACCCUACGAAGCUUUAUCGUAGUUGUAUAUCAAUUCCGGCCCUACGGGCAACCUUCGACCCUUUGGGAAUCGUUGGUUCGGUAGAGUUAUAGGGUUCAUAUACAAAAUGAUUUUGUUGGGAGAACAGAGCGGAAAAUGUCCUGCUUAGACUAUAAAUUUACUUACUAGUAGCAACUAUUAUUAAUCUAUGGAAUGGCAAGCUACUCUAGGGAUAACAGCGCGAUCUUCUUUGAGAGCACGAAUUGAAAAGAAAGUUUGCGACCUCGAUGUUGGCUUUGGGUUACCUGAAGGUGAAGAGGCUUUCAAGCGUGGGUCUGUUCGACCUUUAAUUCCCAACGUG